rnacentral:rRNA from 1 species
UACGUAGGGGGGCGAGCGUUGUCCGGAUUUAUUGGGCGUAAAGAGCGUGUAGGCGGCUUGGCAAGUCCGCUGUGAAAAACUCGAGGCUCAACCUCGAGACGUCGGUGGAAACUGCCUGGCUAGAGUCCGGAAGAGGAGAGUGGAAUUCCUGGUGUAGCGGUGAAAUGCGCAGAUAUCUGGAGGAACACGGUGGCGAAGGCGGCAUCCUGGACCAAUUCUGACGCGAUGAGGUAGCG